UUGUGCUUGCACAAGGUACUCGAGUGGCGAACGGGUGAGUAACACGUGGGUGAUCUGCCCUGCACUGUGGGAUAAGCCUGGGAAACUGGGUCUAAUACCAUAUAGGACCGCAUCUUGGAUGGUGUGGUGGAAAGCUUUUGCGGUGUGGGAUGAGCCUGCGGCCUAUCAGCUUGUUGGUGGGGUAAUGGCCUACCAAGGCGGCGACGGGUAUCCGGCCUGAGAGGGUGUACGGACACAUUGGGACUGAGAUACGGCCCAGACUCCUACGGGAGGCAGCAGUGGGGAAUAUUGCACAAUGGGCGCAAGCCUGAUGCAGCGACGCCGCGUGGGGGAUGAAGGCCUUCGGGUUGUAAACUCCUUUCGCUAUCGACGAAGCCUUUUAGGGGAGGGUAGGUAGAUAAAAA
rnacentral:rRNA from 1 species